AGGGUGUAGCAUCUGUUUUGAUAUGGCAAGCAUCUGAUGAAUUCGUAGUAAGGAAGUAAAGGCUUGAUGCUGGUCACCAAGUACCUGCUUCCAUUGUGGACUAGUACUACUUCACAUCUUGGACAAAGUCACAGGAUGUUUUCAGCAGAAAGCAUCUACCUGAACUCGAGCCCUGUUCAUGUGACCCAGGCUGAAGGAACGAGAUAGGAGGAUGAAACCUGGCAUGUGAGGUGCUCCCAUUGCUAGUUAUGUAAGCUUUCGGUGCCACUGCUAAGAAUCAAAGGUGAGUUCUAAUGAGUUUUCGAUCAUUUGAAGUUGUUUGAUACAUGUAAACUUUUUCUUCCACUCAAAUAUGUCGGGCAACCAAACCCAGAUGACUCUUUGGAUUAUGCUUUUGUGUUUAUCUUUAUAGCCAAUUCAAAAAUUAUGCAAAUGUCGGAUGAACAGAGAAAAGCUGAAUCUUGACUAGAUCAUUCGACAUGACAAUUCUCAUAAAAAGACUGCUUUGUGACCUUAGGAAAGUGAUCUGCUUGCUAUGUCACCCACACAUAGAAUAGGAUGAUUGCUCACAUUUCUUGUUGUGAAGACAUCUCUGGCUUUUGAGCCAACAACUGAAACCUUCAGUGGACUCUGACCUUCCUGCUGCUUGGAAAUAAGAAAAUGUCACUGGGAGUGUUUACAGAUUAACAGUUUCCAAUAAACCCCAGGAAGGCACCAUUGGGUAUUCACAUCCGAUGAAUGGUCUCACGAGGAGAAAUUUCAGGUUUUAUGUGGAAUAUAUGAGUGCUCAUGAUCAAUAGUUUAGAUUUCUCGAUUGAUUUUUCCCUCAUGUGAAAAUCCAUUGUUAGCAGACUAGCUAGAUGCCUGAUUCUGCCAUUGUGGUAGGAGACUUAGGUGGUCCUUUAAUAAUGUUGGGUGAGUGAUGAAACUUAUAGGGUCAUGGCCUUGUUUCACAGAGAGACAAGAUAUAAUAUUUUGUCGAGGGUAUAAAAUAACUUCAGAAGUCUCAAAAAUAAGUAUUUCUAAGAAGUUUGAUUUAUUGGACUAUUAAAGUUUUAUCUAACUAGGAAUAUCUGCUUGAUAGUAUUAGCUACUUAGACAAGUCAUAUAUUGAGAAAAAAAAAGAUUAAUUAUAUAUUACCUCUGUACUUGGACCCUCUUAGUAUUACGAUUCUUAUACUUUGAAAAUUUAGAUUGGGAUUUGUAUAGUUAUAAAAGUGAAACAAUUGACUCCAUUUUUUUUGGCAACAUCGGUUGUCUUGACGAAAGGCACAGCAUGUGACAUCAUGUGCUGGAUUGGAGCAAAUCUAAUGAGCAAAAAAUUAAUUUCAAUAUUCAUUCCGUUUUCAUUUGUUUUGCUCAAAUUAAAACUUCUUAGUUGACUCUAAUUUUGAUAGAAAACUUUUAAUUAUGAUUCAUCGAGAGAGGGAGAGCUCUAUUUAUUUUCAGCAAUCGCUGAGGAAGAGGUCUAUUCAUUAAGGUUCGAGAGGAUUAGAGUUUGUGAUUGAUGCAAGUUUCAAUCUCCAUUUUGAAUGUUGUUUUUUCAAGACAGUAGCAGACUUAUCAGUGUUUGUUAUUGGUGUUUUGAGCAGUAUUGGGAACCUCCAUUUUGAAUGCAAUUUUUUGAAUGCAGCAACAGACUUGUCAAGGCUUUGCAUACUUGUACUGUUUUUUUCAUUUAAAGCUUUCCUACUUGGAAUUGUUGUCCAAAUGAAUGCAGCAGUUUCAUA